UGGAAAUGUACCAUGUGCCAGGCCCUGUGCUAAGUGCUUCACGUGGAGGGCCUCACUGAAUUCUUAUCACCACAUGAUGCGUUCUUAGCCUCACUUUACAGGUUCAGAAACUGAGGUUAGUUAAGCUCCUGCUCUAAUCAUCACUGUAAGUUAUAAGAUAUUUGAAUUACAUUGAAGCAGUGUAUGGAGAUUUCCUUUCUUUUAAUGCUGCCAGAUGACUGAGUUUUAAACCUCCCUGAAGAGAAUCUCUAAGCUUUCAAAUCAAGGAAUCUUAUUGGUUGCAAGAUAAACUUGCUGCUAAUUUUUGGAACAAUCUCACAAUUGGUUACUGGGAUACUGUCUGAAGAGAAGAUCCUGGGACACUCAUAACUAUCCUUAUAAGAUUCUGUCAGGCUAAACAAGCCCAGGUUCUCUAUUUGGACUUCUACUUGAGAAAUGACUUGCAAAGAUGUAGUUCAGUCUUAAAAAACAAACAAACAAACAAGCAAGCAAGCAAACAAGCAAAAACUUUUCGGGAUUAUUUGAGCUCUAUCUUUGACAGCCAAGGCAAAAGGAGCUGGGAAGUUUCCCUUGAUAAAAGAAUUGUCUUAUUGUCUUAUCAAGAUUCCCUUGAUAAGAGAAGGGAGAUACAUCAAGUAGAAAUAUGAUUUAAGAGUGCGGGCUGUGUUGGUUAUUCAAUUAUCGUC